UUGCUUCUCUGAUGUUAGCGGCGGACGGGUGAGUAACACGUGGAUAACCUACCUAUAAGACUGGGAUAACUUCGGGAAACCGGAGCUAAUACCGGAUAAUAUUUUGAACCGCAUGGUUCAAAAGUGAAAGACGGUCUUGCUGUCACUUAUAGAUGGAUCCGCGCUGCAUUAGCUAGUUGGUAAGGUAACGGCUUACCAAGGCAACGAUGCAUAGCCGACCUGAGAGGGUGAUCGGCCACACUGGAACUGAGACACGGUCCAGACUCCUACGGGAGGCAGCAGUAGGGAAUCUUCCGCAAUGGGCGAAAGCCUGACGGAGCAACGCCGCGUGAGUGAUGAAGGUCUUCGGAUCGUAAAACUCUGUUAUUAGGGAAGAACAUAUGUGUAAGUAACUGUGCACAUCUUGACGGUACCUAAUCAGAAAGCCACGGCUAACUACGUGCCAGCAGCCGCGGUAAUACGUAGGUGGCAAGCGUUAUCCGGAAUUAUUGGGCGUAAAGCGCGCGUAGGCGGUUUUUUAAGUCUGAUGUGAAAGCCCACGGCUCAACCGUGGAGGGUCAUUGGAAACUGGAAAACUUGAGUGCAGAAGAGGAAAGUGGAAUUCCAUGUGUAGCGGUGAAAUGCGCAGAGAUAUGGAGGAACACCAGUGGCGAAGGCGACUUUCUGGUCUGUAACUGACGCUGAUGUGCGAAAGCGUGGGGAUCAAACAGGAUUAGAUACCCUGGUAGUCCACGCCGUAAACGAUGAGUGCUAAGUGUUAGGGGGUUUCCGCCCCUUAGUGCUGCAGCUAACGCAUUAAGCACUCCGCCUGGGGAGUACGACCGCAAGGUUGAAACUCAAAGGAAUUGACGGGGACCCGCACAAGCGGUGGAGCAUGUGGUUUAAUUCGAAGCAACGCGAAGAACCUUACCAAAUCUUGACAUCCUUUGACAACUCUAGAGAUAGAGCCUUCCCCUUCGGGGGACAAAGUGACAGGUGGUGCAUGGUUGUCGUCAGCUCGUGUCGUGAGAUGUUGGGUUAAGUCCCGCAACGAGCGCAACCCUUAAGCUUAGUUGCCAUCAUUAAGUUGGGCACUCUAAGUUGACUGCCGGUGACAAACCGGAGGAAGGUGGGGAUGACGUCAAAUCAUCAUGCCCCUUAUGAUUUGGGCUACACACGUGCUACAAUGGACAAUACAAAGGGCAGCGAAACCGCGAGGUCAAGCAAAUCCCAUAAAGUUGUUCUCAGUUCGGAUUGUAGUCUGCAACUCGACUACAUGAAGCUGGAAUCGCUAGUAAUCGUAGAUCAGCAUGCUACGGUGAAUACGUUCCCGGGUCUUGUACACACCGCCCGUCACACCACGAGAGUUUGUAACACCCGAAGCCGGUGGAGUAACCUUUUAGGAGCUAGCCGUCGAAGGUGGGACAAAUGAUUGGGGUGAAGUCGUAACAAGGUAGCCGUAUCGGAAGGUGCGGCUGGAUCACCUCCUUU
rnacentral:rRNA from 2 species